rnacentral:rRNA from 1 species
AUACUGCAAGUCGAGCGAACAGAUAAGGAGCUUGCUCCUUUGAAGUUAGCGGCGGACGGGUGAGUAACACGUGGGUAACCUACCUAUAAGACUGGAAUAACUUCGGGAAACCGGAGCUAAUGCCGGAUAACAUAUAGAACCGCAUGGUUCUAUAGUGAAAGAUGGUUUUGCUAUCACUUAUAGAUGGACCCGCGCCGUAUUAGCUAGUUGGUAAGGUAAUGGCUUACCAAGGCGACGAUACGUAGCCGACCUGAGAGGGUGAUCGGCCACACUGGAACUGAGACACGGUCCAGACUCCUACGGGAGGCAGCAGUAGGGAAUCUUCCGCAAUGGGCGAAAGCCUGACGGAGCAACGCCGCGUGAGUGAUGAAGGUUUUCGGAUCGUAAAACUCUGUUAUUAGGGAAGAACAAAUGCGUAAGUAACUGUGCGCAUCUUGACGGUACCUAAUCAGAAAGCCACGGCUAACUACGUGCCAGCAGCCGCGGUAAUACGUAGGUGGCAAGCGUUAUCCGGAAUUAUUGGGCGUAAAGCGCGCGUAGGCGGUUUCUUAAGUCUGAUGUGAAAGCCCACGGCUCAACCGUGGAGGGUCAUUGGAAA